CCCCUAGAUGUUCUGGGCCGCACGCGCGCUACACUGAACAGUUCAACAAGUCUUAACCUUGGCCGAUAGGUCUGGGUAAUCUUUGAACGCUGUUCGUGAUUGGGAUAGACCUUUGCAAUUAUGGGUCUUCAACGAGGAAUUCCUAGUAAACGCAAGUCAUCAGCUUGCAUUGAUUACGUCCCUGCCCUUUGUACACACCGCCCGUCGCUCCUACCGAUUGAGCAAACCGGUGAAUAGUUUGGACCGUCGGCUUUCUCGGUUCGCCGGGUUAGCAGUGCGGAAAAUUCAGUGAACCUUUUUGCUUAGAGGAAGGAGAAGUCGUAACA
rnacentral:rRNA from 1 species